rnacentral:lncRNA from 1 species
CAGGCCUUAAUUCUCCUCUGUUCUUCAAUAAGACACUGCUAUAGUCAUUGUGUAGAGGCCAGUCCCAUGUUCCUAUGCCUCUGGCCACCAACCAACAACAUUGUGUCCUAUCCUGAGGCUACAUUCUGUCAAGACCAGUACAGCACUGAGUAAUCUGGGCAUGGCUCAGGUGGAUCUUGGCUCUCAAAUCUCUCACAGGCUUCAAUCAAGGUGUCAGCUAGGACUGCAAGCAUCUUGACCCGUGGCUGGAAGGAAUUCUAAACUCAUUCACCUGGUUGUUGGAAGGAUUCAGCUCAUGCGCUAGUGCAAUACGGGCAUUAAAUCCUUACUGGCUGUUGGUCAGAGACUGCAUUUGAUCCUUGUCAGGUGGUUUCCUUACCACUUAGAUCAUAACUCUGCAAAAGAGAAUUUGAAAAGAGUUUUUGCCAAGUACACCUUAUGGAUUAUGAUGUUUUCCUGCAAGUUUGACCCCUUUAUCAUUAUGCAAUGCCCCAUUCUACCUCUGUGAAGCUGACUUGAACCAAGAUUAAUGUAACUACUCCAGCUCUCCUUUGGGUACUCUUAAUAUAUUUUAUCUUUCUUUAUUUGUCUCACUUUCAUUCUAUGAGUGUUGUUAUAUUUAAAAUAGGUUUUUUGGGCUGGGGAUUUAGCUCAGUGGCACACCCCCCCUUCUUGCAAGCACAGGGUCCUGAAUCUGAUCCCUGGUAUUGGAAAAAAAAAUCUAGGUUUCUUAUAAGCCCUGUAUAGUUGGGUUAUACUUUUCUUUUUCAAUUUAGUCAACAAGUAAUAAAUGCUUAUUUUAUGGGGUAUAAUGUAAUGUUUUUAUAUGCAUACAUGGUGGGAUAACUAGAUCAUAUUAACAUAUCUAGCACCUCACAUUGCAUUUUUCUGUAGCAAGAAUAUUUACACUUUUUUUUUUUUGUAGCCGGGGUCGAACUUGGGUCCUUGCACUUGCAGCAGGUGGCGAAACCACUGAGCUAAAUCUCCAGCCCCUAAGAAUAUUUACAAUUUACUUUUAGAAAUUUCAAAAUAUAUAAUACUUAUUGCUAACUAUAAUCAUGCUAUGUAAUAGAUCUCAUGAUCUUAUUAUUUCUAUCCAACUGAAACUUUGUACCUUUUAAUCAGCUUCUUUGCAGUGCCUUCCUCUGAUAACCUUCAUUCUAUUCUUAUGAGUUUGACAUUUUUAGAUCUUAUAUAUAAGACCAUACAUUAUUUGUCUUCCUGAGCUUGACUUAUUCCCUUAACAUAAUGUCCUCUAGAUUCAACCAUGUGUUCCCAAAUUACAUGAUUGUCUUUAAGGCUACAUAAUAUUCCCUGUGUAGUUACACUGUAAUUUCUUUUUUCAAAAAUCUAUCAUGAUUAUAUCCUUUAAUGGAUGUGCUAUACUGUUUACAUUAAAAUGAUUACUGAUAUAGUUGCUUUUUAAUAUUUUCUUUUUCUGAGUUCUUUUUUUGUCUUCUCCUGUUUCAUGAUUCAGCUUUCUAUUCUCUCAGUAUAUCAAUUAUAUAUCUUUAAACAAUUUUGAUGAUUGGCCUAGACAGUGAGAUACACUCAUAACCAAUAAGUCCUUUCUCAAAUAGCAUUAUAACACCUCACUGUUCCUACGUUGAUUUAUAACUGUAUUCCCAAUUCCUCCCUUUCAAUCUUUAUGAAAUGGCUUUCAUUCUUCUCACUUAUCUGUAGGCUAUAAUCACCUAAUAUUACUAUUAUUAUUUUGAACAAACAUAAAGAAAUGACAUGAGUAUGAUGCAUGUAAAACACUUCAAAAAUGUCUAAGAGAUUGAGAAGCUAAACAUCCAGCC